rnacentral:rRNA from 1 species
UGCAGUCGAACGAACGGAGGAGAGCUUGCUCUCCGAAGUUAGUGGCGGACGGGUGUGUAACACGUGAGCAACCUACCCUUUGGCGGGGGAUAGCCGGCCUAACGGCCGGGUAAUACCGCGUACUGCGUCGUGAUCGCAUGGUCAUGACGUGAAAGCGGCCGCAAGGUCGCACCAGAGGAGGGGCUCGCGACCUAUCAGCUUGUUGGUGGGGUAACGGCUCACCAAGGCUACGACGGGUAGCUGGUCUGAGAGGAUGGCCAGCCACAUUGGGACUGAGAUACGGCCCAGACUCCUACGGGAGGCAGCAGUGGGGAAUAUUGCGCAAUGGCCGCAAGGCUGACGCAGCGACGCCGCGUGUGGGAUGAAGGCCCUCGGGUUGUAAACCACUGUCAGGGGGGACGAAUACCCGGCCCAGCAACGGGACCGGGGGUGACGGUACCUCCAAAGGAAGCACCGGCUAACUCCGUGCCAGCAGCCGCGGUAAGACGGAGGGUGCAAGCGUUGUCCGGAAUCACUGGGCGUAAAGCGCGCGUAGGCGGCCGUUUAAGUCAUUUGUGAAAGCCCGGGGCUCAACUCCGGGACUGCAGGCGAAACUGGACGGCUAGAGCUCGGUAGAGGCGAGUGGAAUUCCCGGUGUAGCGGUGGAAUGCGUAGAUAUCGG